rnacentral:ncRNA from 1 species
AUUGAACUUAGUACGAGAGGAACCGUUCAUUCGGAUAAUUGGUAUUUGGGCCUGCCUGAGCAGGCAAUGGCCCGAAGCUAUCAUNNN